rnacentral:rRNA from 1 species
GCAUAUCAAUAAGCGGAGGAAAAGAAACUAACUAGGAUUCCCCCAGUAACUGCGAGUGAAGAGGGAAGAGCUCAUCAUUGGAAUCUGGCAGUGUUGCACUGUCCGAGUUGUAGAUGAGGAGUAGUCCGUCUGGACUGCAUGGCGUCCAAGUACAAUAGGCCGUCAGUGGGACAUCAUAGAGGGUGACAAUCCCGUCCUUGACGCCAAUGUGCAAGUCUAUUACGAUGGCUAUCUCAGAGAGUCGAGCAGUUUGGGAUUUGCUGCUUAAACAUGGGAGGUAGAUUCCUUCUAAAGCUAAAUACAGGCGAGAGACCGAUAGAGAACAAGUACCGCAAGGGAAAGAUGAAAUAGCACUCUGUGAAGGGAGUCAAAAGGCGUGAAAUUGUUGCGAGAGAAGCGAUUCAAGUCAGCGUAGCUAGGCCCAUCAAGCGUCUUCGCUUUGGACUAGCUUUGCCAGCGGUCUUGUCCCUUGAAGAGACUUGACUUGUAAUAUGUCCAGCCUGGCGUGCACAGGCAGCCCCUUCUGGGGGCCAGUGGCAUGGCUGUGGAAUGGCUUGCAAUCGACCCGUCUUGAAACACGGACCAAGGAGUCUAACAUGUAUGCGAGUAUAAGGGUGGCAAACCCGUAUGCGCAAUGAAAGUGAUUUUCGGUGAUUGAGAAUGGCCUGAUGACCAGACAAGCAAUAUAUGUCCCUCGUACGGCCAUUGCCCAAGUUCCGUGGUAGAUCCCACGAACAUGGAGUUGGAGCAUACAUGCUAGGACCCGAAAGAUGGUGAACUAUGCCUGGACAAAGCGAAGCCAAAGGAAACUCUGGUGGAGGCUUGUAGCGAUUCUGACGUGCAAAUCGAUCGUCUGAUCUGGGUAUAGGGGCGAAAGACUAAUCGAACCAUCUCAUAGCUGGUUCCUGCCGAAGUUUCCCUCAGGAU